rnacentral:lncRNA from 11 species
AUUUGCUCAAUGAUUUGUUAAGAUUAAAGUUACAGUAGCCCUGUAAGAAUGUUCAGCUGUUGAUGUGCUCAGAGGAGAAAGGAAAGUCCAAAGCUACACGUUCUUUCUGGGGAAUGGUUCCUACUUGUUUUUACUUUCACUCCCAAACUUGGGAUCCUGCAUAUGAUACCGUUUUCUGAGGGCUCAACUAAGGGUGAAUCUACACAAGCAAAAUCAAGAAGAACAAAAACCCUUGAUGGCUUUUCCUAUUAUGAUUGUUAAAUUCUGGUGAGUAUGAGUUGUCUUGCUUUACUUCACCAUUGUCCCAUGUUGCCUGGGAAUUCU